rnacentral:rRNA from 1 species
UACAGAGGGGGCAAGCGUUGUUCGGAAUUACUGGGCGUAAAGGGCGCGUAGGCGGCCUGUUAAGUCGAACGUGAAAUCCCCGGGCUCAACCCGGGAACUGCGUCCGAUACUGGCAGGCUUGAAUUCGGGAGAGGGAUGCGGAAUUCCAGGUGUAGCGGUGAAAUGCGCAGAUAUCGGGAGGAACACCGGUGGCGAAGGCGGUUCUCUGGGCCUGUACUGACGCUGAGGAGCGAAAGCGUGGGGAGCGAACAGG